UACGGAGGGUGCAAACGUUGCUCGGAAUCAUUGGGCGUAAAGCGCACGUAGGCGGACCGCUAAGUCGGAUGUGAAACGCCCUCGGCUUAACCGAGGAAGUGCAUUCGAAACUGACAGUCUUGAGUAUGGAAGAGGGUCGCGGAAUUCCCGGUGUAGAGGUGAAAUUCGUAGAUAUCGGGAGGAACACCAGUGGCGAAGGCGGCGACCUGGGCCAAUACUGACGCUGAGGUGCGAAAGCGUGGGGAGCAAA
rnacentral:rRNA from 1 species